UGCAGUCGAGCGGACAGAUGGGAGCUUGCUCCCUGAUGUUAGCGGCGGACGGGUGAGUAACACGUGGGUAACCUGCCUGUAAGACUGGGAUAACUCCGGGAAACCGGGGCUAAUACCGGAUGGUUGUUUGAACCGCAUGGUUCAAACAUAAAAGGUGGCUUCGGCUACCACUUACAGAUGGACCCGCGGCGCAUUAGCUAGUUGGUGAGGUAACGGCUCACCAAGGCAACGAUGCGUAGCCGACCUGAGAGGGUGAUCGGCCACACUGGGACUGAGACACGGCCCAGACUCCUACGGGAGGCAGCAGUAGGGAAUCUUCCGCAAUGGACGAAAGUCUGACGGAGCAACGCCGCGUGAGUGAUGAAGGUUUUCGGAUCGUAAAGCUCUGUUGUUAGGGAAGAACAAGUACCGUUCGAAUAGGGCGGUACCUUGACGGUACCUAACCAGAAAGCCACGGCUAACUACGUGCCAGCAGCCGCGGUAAUACGUAGGUGGCAAGCGUUGUCCGGAAUUAUUGGGCGUAAAGGGCUCGCAGGCGGUUUCUUAAGUCUGAUGUGAAAGCCCCCGGCUCAACCGGGGAGGGUCAUUGGAAACUGGGGAACUUGAGUGCAGAAGAGGAGAGUGGAAUUCCACGUGUAGCGGUGAAAUGCGUAGAGAUGUGGAGGAACACCAGUGGCGAAGGCGACUCUCUGGUCUGUAACUGACGCUGAGGAGCGAAAGCGUGGGGAGCGAACAGGAUUAGAUACCCUGGUAGUCCACGCCGUAAACGAUGAGUGCUAAGUGUUAGGGGGUUUCCGCCCCUUAGUGCUGCAGCUAACGCAUUAAGCACUCCGCCUGGGGAGUACGGUCGCAAGACUGAAACUCAAAGGAAUUGACGGGGGCCCGCACAAGCGGUGGGAGCAUGUGGUUUAAUUCGAAGCAACGCGAAGAACCUUACCAGGUCUUGACAUCCUCUGACAAUCCUAGAGAUAGGACGUCCCCUUCGGGGGCAGAGUGACAGGUGGUGCAUGGUUGUCGUCAGCUCGUGUCGUGAGAUGUUGGGUUAAGUCCCGCAACGAGCGCAACCCUUGAUCUUAGUUGCCAGCAUUCAGUUGGGCACUCUAAGGUGACUGCCGGUGACAAACCGGAGGAAGGUGGGGAUGACGUCAAAUCAUCAUGCCCCUUAUGACCUGGGCUACACACGUGCUACAAUGGACAGAACAAAGGGCAGCGAAACCGCGAGGUUAAGCCAAUCCCACAAAUCUGUUCUCAGUUCGGAUCGCAGUCUGCAACUCGACUGCGUGAAGCUGGAAUCGCUAGUAAUCGCGGAUCAGCAUGCCGCGGUGAAUACGUUCCCGGGCCUUGUACACACCGCCCGUCACACCACGAGAGUUUGUAACACCCGAAGUCGGUGAGGUAACCUUUAGGAGCC
rnacentral:rRNA from 1 species